rnacentral:rRNA from 1 species
CCUACGGGAGGCAGCAGUGGGGAAUAUUGGGCAAUGGACGAAAGUCUGACCCAGCGACGCCGCGUGAGGGAUGAAGGCCUUCGGGUUGUAAACCUCUUUCAGUAGGGAAGAAGCGAAAGUGACGGUACCUAAAGAAGAAGCACCGGCUAACUAUGUGCCAGCAGCCGCGGUAAUACAUAGGGUGCAAGCGUUGUCCGGAAUUAUUGGGCGUAAAGAGCUCGUAGGCGGUUUGUUGCGUCGGGUGUGAAAUUCAGGGGCUCAACCCCUGACCUGCACUCGAUACGGGCAAGCUAGAGUUUGGUAGGGGAGACUGGAAUUCCUGGUGUAGCGGUGGAAUGCGCAGAUAUCAGGAGGAACACCAAUGGCGAAGGCAGGUCUCUGGGCCAAUACUGACACUGAGGAGCGAAAGCGCGGGGAGCGAACAGGAUUAGAUACCCUGGUAGUCCGCGCCGUAAACGAUGGGCGCUAGUUGUGGGGACCUUCCACGGUUUCUGCGACGCAGCUACGCAUAGACGCCCGCCCGUCGGGAGGUACGAGUCGCGAAGAAGUUAAAACGUUAAAGGUAAAGUUAGUAACGGUCGUGAGACGUGCCGAACGGACGACGACGAGGGAGGUUAGG